rnacentral:rRNA from 1 species
UACGGGGGGGCAAGCGUUGUUCGGAAUUACUGGGCGUAAAGGGCUCGUAGGCGGCCAACUAAGUCAGACGUGAAAUCCCUCGGCUUAACCGGGGAACUGCGUCUGAUACUGGAUGGCUUGAGUUUGGGAGAGGGAUGCGGAAUUCCAGGUGUAGCGGUGAAAUGCGUAGAUAAUCUGGAGGAACACCGGUGGCGAAGGCGGCGAUCCUGGACCAACACUGACGCUGAGUGAGCGAAAGCCAGGGGAG